rnacentral:tRNA from 1 species
GAGGAAUUGGGUAUAGUUACUGCUAAUAACUUUGUAUCAAUUAAGUUUGAUAUUCCUCU